UGACACAGGGAGGUAGUGACAAGAAAUAACAAAGCAAGUGCUUCAUGCAUUUUGCUAUUGGAAUGAGUAGAAUUUAAAUCUCUUUUCGACUAUCAAUUGGAGGGCAAGUCUGGUGCCAGCAGCCGCGGUAAUUCCAGCUCCAAUAGCGUAUAUUAAAGUUGUUGCGGUUAAAAAGCUCGUAGUUGGAUUUCUACCGAAGACAGCCGGUCCACACUACGUGUGCGCAUCUGGUAUGACUUCGGUAUCCUCAUGGAGAACAGCUCUGCACUUCACUGUGUGGACUGGUAUUCAUGACUUUUACUUUGAGGAAAUUAGAGUGUUCACGGCAGGCAAUCGCCCUGAAUACAUUAGCAUGGAAUAAUAAUAUAGGACUUCGGCCCUAUUUUGUUGGUUUCUAGAGCUGAAGUAAUGAUUAAUAGGGACACUUGGGGGCAUUCGUAUUAUCACGUCAGAGGUGGAAUUCUUGGAUUGUGUUACGACGAACUACUGCGAAAGCAUUUGCCAAGGAUGUUUUCAUUGAUCAAGAACGAAAGAUAGGGGAUCGAAGACGCUUAGAUACCGUCGUAGUCUUAUCCAUAAACUAUGCCAACUAGGGAUUAGCUCGCGUUCUUUUCGACCGAGUUAGCACCUUAUGAGAAAUCAAAGUCUUUGGGUUCCGGGGGGAGUAUGGUCGCAAGGCUGGAACUUAAAGGAAUUGACGGAAGGGCACCACCAGGAGUGGAGCCUG
rnacentral:rRNA from 1 species